CUAGUAUAUUAAUCCUCAUCCUCAUCAUCACAAUGUACUAGUUUGGCACUACAGCAGCCUUCUGAUAAUAUGCCUGCUUCUACUUGCACUUUAACUUUUCUUGCAGCUUUUAUUUAUGCUUUCAAUUCAUGCAUGUUACUUUGUAUAUGAUAUAAUUAUUCAUUUUAGUAUGAUCAUGCUUGCUAAACUUAUAUACCUUACAAUACCCA
rnacentral:lncRNA from 1 species